CUGAUAGCUGCAGGGUGGAGAAACGUGUGCCGCUUAUUGAUAAGCAAAUGCACCAUGAUAACAUGCCACAGUAUGAGCUCAGUACAGAAGAGACACUUUUUCCACAGUGCUGGAGUGAACAUCGACCCUCUUCAGCUCAUCGCAAGAAUGAAGAAAACUAAAUGCAUGGCAGAUGAGCUGUGGAGUGUCACAAGCUGCAGGAGAAUUAACUGUUAAAAAUGACAAAGGAAGAAGAUGAGAGUCAAUCUAAUGAAUCGAGAGAGAAACAAACACUGAGACGAGUCCGGCGGAACAGCAUUAAUGGUGGAGUACCAAACUUUUGUAAUGGUUCGGACAGAGAUGAUUCAGCAGAGGUGCUCACAGAUGAGAAAGCUGCUUUUUCUUUCAUCUAAACCAGCAGGAAACUCUUCAUCAAAAAUGUAAUUAUACAAAAAAAAUUAUAUAUAUGCAAAGAUUAUACAAAACAACUGCACAAAAGUAAACAAAAAUGAUAUUACAAAAAAAUAAAUAAAAGAAAUAAGAAAUAAAAAAUCUUGAUAAAUAAACUACUUGUUUGUGUGUGUUUUUUCUUCAUAUUGUACUUUCUCGUUCAGUGACCUUAAAAUGAUGCAGGAAUUAUGAUCAGACAUGUAACACAUCUGCUCUGACAAAACUCUGUCAGGCUUAAAAAUAUAUAAUACAUAAGCAAUCAUGUGACGUAAUGUACAUUUAAUUUACUCUGUCUUUACACUGUACACUGUAACUAUACAUAUAUUUAUAGUAUAUGUAUAGUUACAUGUAUAGGUUUUAAAAAUUGUUUCUACGUCUAGUGUAUUUAUGUUCAUAUUUAUGUUUAUUUAUGUAGCACCGUGGUCCUGUGAGACACGACAUUUCAUUCCACUGUAUGUCCACACAUAUAGCAGAAUGACAAUAAAGCUUGACUUGACUUGACUGUGCAAACUCA